rnacentral:rRNA from 1 species
GACGAACGCUGGCGGCGUGCCUAAUACAUGCAAGUUGAGCGCUGAAGGUUGGUACUUGUACCAACUGGAUGAGCAGCGAACGGGUGAGUAACGCGUGGGGAAUCUGCCUUUGAGCGGGGGACAACAUUUGGAAACGAAUGCUAAUACCGCAUAAAAACUUUAAACACAAGUUUUAAGUUUGAAAGAUGCAAUUGCAUCACUCAAAGAUGAUCCCGCGUUGUAUUAGCUAGUUGGUGAGGUAAAGGCUCACCAAGGCGAUGAUACAUAGCCGACCUGAGAGGGUGAUCGGCCACAAUGGGACUGAGACACGGCCCAAACUCCUACGGGAGGCAGCAGUAGGGAAUCUUCGGCAAUGGACGAAAGUCUGACCGGGCAACGCCGCGUGAGUGAAGAAGGUUUUCGGAUCGUAAAACUCUGUUGGUAGAGAAGAACGUUGGUGGGAGUGGAAAGCGCAUCAAGUGACGGUAACUACCCAGAAAGGGACGGCUAACUACGUG